AAGGAUCAUUACCGAAUUGUCGACACGAGUUGUUGCUGGUCCUCAAAUGGGGGCAUGUGCACGCUCUGUUUACACAUCCACUCACACCUGUGCACCCACUGUAGUUCUAUGGCCUGGGGGGCUCCGUCCCUUUUGCCGUGGUUCUAUGUCUUUACAUACACACUGUAAUAAAGUUUCACGGAAUGCAUCAUGCGUUUAACGCAAUACAAUACAACUUUCAGCAACGGAUCUCUUGGCUCUCGCAUCGAUGAAGAACGCAGCGAAAUGCGAUAAGUAAUGUGAAUUGCAGAAUUCAGUGAAUCAUCGAAUCUUUGAACGCACCUUGCGCCUUCUGGCUAUUCCAGAGGGCAUGCCUGUUUGAGUAUCAUGAACACCUCAACUCUCACGGUUUUGCCGUGAUGAGCUUGGACUUUGGAGGUCUUGCCGGCCUGUGGUCGGCUCCUCUCAAAUGAAUCAGCUUGCCAGUGUUUGGUGGCGUCACAGGUGUGAUAACUAUCUACGCUUGUGGCUCCCACCGGGUAACCUUCAGUGAUGGGGGUUCGCUGGAGCUCAUAAAUGUCUCUCCUCAGUGAGGACAGCUUCUUGAAUGUUUGAUCUCAAAUCAGGUAGGGCUACCCGCUGAACUUAA
rnacentral:rRNA from 1 species